rnacentral:rRNA from 1 species
UACGGGGGGGGGCAAGCGUUGUUCGGAAUUACUGGGCGUAAAGGGCUCGUAGGCGGCCAACUAAGUCGGAUGUGAAAUCCCCAGGCUCAACUUGGGAACUGCAUCCGAUACUGGAUGGCUUGAAUUCGGGAGAGGGAUGCAGAAUUCCAGGUGUAGCGGUGAAAUGCGUAGAUAUCUGGAGGAAUACCGGUGGCGAAGGCGGCAUCCUGGACCGACAUUGACGCUGAGGAGCGAAAGCUAGGGGAGCAAACGGG